UACAGAGGGUGCAAGCGUUAUUCGGAAUUACUGGGCGUAAAGCGUGCGUAGACGGUCACGUAAGUCGGGUGUGAAAGCCCCGGGCUCAACCUGGGAAUUGCAUUCGAGACUGCAUGGCUAGGGUGCGGAAGAGGGAAGCGGAAUUUCCGGUGUAGCGGUGAAAUGCGUAGAUAUCAGGAGGAACACCGGUGGUGUAGACGGCUUUCUGGACCGUAACUGACGCUGAAACACGAAAGCGUGGGUAGCAAACAGG
rnacentral:rRNA from 1 species